GACGUAGGGCGCGAGCGUUGUCCGGAUUGAUUGGGCGUAAAGAGCUCGUAGGCGGCUCGUUGCGUCGGCUGUGAAAACCCGCAGCUCAACUGUGGGCCUGCAGCUGAUACGGGCGGGCUGGAGUUCGGUAGGGGAGACUGGAAUUCCUGGUGUAGCGGUGAAAUGCGCAGAUAUCAGGGGGAACACCGGUGGCGAAGGCGGGUCUCUGGGCCGAUACUGACGCUGAGGAGCGAAAGCGUGGGGAGCGAACAGG
rnacentral:rRNA from 1 species